UAAGGGGAUUUAUCGUUUGCUGAUCGAUUAAUUGUAUAAAGAAUACAAGGGAGAGGAUGAGUGAAAGAAUAAAUGAAUUUUGGUUUGUAGUUGUUGCGGUACAAGCUAAAUAGGGAUAAAAGAAUUACAAGGGAGAUGGAAUUUAACAUCUCCACUGCUCCAAUCUCGAUCAAUUCUAUUGCUCGGACCUCGCAUGGAAGCAAAGGAAGAAGUCAACUCCUUAACUUACAGGUGAGACUCAAGACAAUUUAUUGAUAGUAGAAUGAUAUCCAAUGACAAUUUUGCAAGUUACUCAAACUCCAUAUAUAGGAAGGUCGACCUUCCACUCCACAUGUCUCUUGACCUUCAUGAGUGAGCAAGAUGACCCUCCAAUAUGUGGGACAUGCAGAAAUUGGUCGAACUUUUGCUCUAGGCCACUCGAUAUCUAUGUCAAAGUAAACUGAACUUCGUUCUUCAAGCAGAACCAGAGCUCUGUAUUAAUUGGAAGAUCAUUUUGCUGUCA
rnacentral:lncRNA from 1 species